rnacentral:rRNA from 1 species
AGAGUUUGAUCCUGGCUCAGGAUGAACGCUGGCGGCGUGCCUAACACAUGCAAGUCGAACGGAGUUACUUUGGUGAAGUUUUCGGAUGGAUCUGAUUUAACUUAGUGGCGGACGGGUGAGUAAUGCGUGAGCAACCUGCCCUUCAGAGGGGGACAACAGUUGGAAACGACUGCUAAUACCGCAUAAUGUAUUCGGAAGGCAUCUUCUGGAUACCAAAGGAGAAAUCCGCUGAUGGAUGGGCUCACGUCUGAUUAGCUAGUUGGUGAGGUAACGGCUCACCAAGGCUGCGAUCAGUAGCCGGACUGAGAGGUUGAACGGCCACAUUGGGACUGAGAUACGGCCCAGACUCCUACGGGAGGCAGCAGUGGGGAAUAUUGGGCAAUGGGCGAAAGCCUGACCCAGCAACGCCGCGUGAAGGAAGAAGGCCUUCGGGUUGUAAACUUCUUUUAAGAGGGACGAAGAAGUGACGGUACCUCUUGAAUAAGCCACGGCUAACUACGUGCCAGCAGCCGCGGUAAUACGUAGGUGGCGAGCGUUAUCCGGAUUUACUGGGUGUAAAGGGCGCGUAGGCGGGAAUGCAAGUCAGAUGUGAAAUCCAAGGGCUCAACCCUUGAACUGCAUUUGAAACUGUAUUUCUUGAGUGUCGGAGAGGUUGACGGAAUUCCUAGUGUAGCGGUGAAAUGCUUAGAUAUCACGAAGAACUCCGAUUGCGAAGGCAGCUCACUGGAGCGCAACUGACGCUGAAGCUCGAAAGUGCGGGUAUCGAACAGGAUUAGAUACCCUGGUAGUCCGCACGGUAAACGAUGGAUGCCCGCUGUUGGUCUGAACAGGUCAGCGGCCAAGCGAAAGCAUUAAGCAUCCCACCUGGGGAGUACGCCGGCAACGGUGAAACUCAAAGGAAUUGACGGGGGCCCGCACAAGCGGAGGAACAUGUGGUUUAAUUCGAUGAUACGCGAGGAACCUUACCCGGGCUUGAAUUGCAGAGGAAGGAUUUGGAGACAAUGACGCCCUUCGGGGUCUCUGUGAAGGUGCUGCAUGGUUGUCGUCAGCUCGUGCCGUGAGGUGUCGGCUUAAGUGCCAUAACGAGCGCAACCCCUCUCCUUAGUUGCCAUCAGGUUAAGCUGGGCACUCUGGGGACACUGCCACCGUAAGGUGUGAGGAAGGUGGGGAUGACGUCAAAUCAGCACGGCCCUUACGUCCGGGGCUACACACGUGUUACAAUGGCAGGUACAGAGAGACGGUUGUACGUAAGUACGAUCAAAUCCUUAAAGCCUGUCUCAGUUCGGACUGGGGUCUGCAACCCGACCCCACGAAGCUGGAUUCGCUAGUAAUCGCGCAUCAGCCAUGGCGCGGUGAAUACGUUCCCGGGCCUUGUACACACCGCCCGUCAAGCCAUGAAAGCCGGGGGCGCCUAAAGUCCGUGACCGUAA